CAAACGUUACCGUCGGCUAGGGUACGCGCAGUUGCUGCUCGCUCCCGCGGCUGCUGCUUCGCAGCGGCGACCUCUCCCAAUGGCGCAGAUGCAAGGGGCUGUGCCUUCUCCAGAUGUUUAUGCGCUGAGUGCAGCUGUAGUGAACCAUUCUGAACACAAGGCACGUCGUCUAUUAGGCACUGAUUGGAUAUGCGUGAAGUGUGGUAACCCUUUUCCACCAAGCAAGAAUUACCUCGCAAAUCUUCCACAUUUCAAGUGCACCUUUUGCAAUGUUGAGAAUCAGACAAGUUACUUUUGGUCAAUGGUAAAGUGUCUUGUCAAUGAUGUUAGCUUGAACUUUAAGAUCUACAAGCAACGAAACGGUCAAUGUGUACUUUUUGCAUUGUUUGCUGUCUGUGAUCUUGCAAGAAGGAUGAGGGGUGCUCGUCAUGGCUUGAUCGAAUCAAAUCCAUUCUCAGGCGAUAUCAUGCUUAGAUAUUAUGAACGAGAAAAUGGCUAUACUCUGCUUGAAGGACCAGAAGGAGGUGAAGAUUAUUAUGUGUAUGAGAACAUGCUUAGAACGGCCUAUCUGUAUGGUAUUCCCUAUCGGCUCACAGGGUAUGAUAAAAAACUUAAUUUACCUAAGCAUUUCGCCAGAAGGCAUUUGAAGAUUAAGAGUUGGUUUCGUGUUAAGACCAUAGUUUUAAAUAGCCGGCUAUAGCCCCACUAUAGCUCCGCUAUAGCUGUUUGAGGGUGUUGCCGCUAAAUGAUUUCAUGUACAAUUUGCCGCUAUAGCUCCGCUAUAGCUGUUUUCUAGGGUCGCCACUAAAUGCCAUACCCCGCUAUUUGAAACAUUGGUUAAGACUGAGAACAUUGAAGAAAUCACCAGGCUGCUGGCCAAUGGCAUCCCAUUGAUUGGUACCGUCACUACUGGCAAACUGUUUAGAUUCUUGGGUGCAGGCGAGAUCUAUCAUUGCCCGAUUUCAUAUGAAACUGCCCAUGCUGUAGCACUUCAUGGCUCAGGGAUGUCUGUUGGGAGGGGUGAUGGUACGCAUGGAACCUACUAUGGUUGUAGGAAUUCUCAUGGUGAUCAUGCCCACCCCUCCUAUGAAAAGAAGGGCCUUGGAGGUGACUUCAAUGUUUGGGCAAAGGAUCUGGUAGGCCCCUAUGUGUAUGGGUUGAAUAUAGCUGAUGACGAUGAUGCUGAUCUGACGAGCACGUCUACAUCUGAACCGAAUCAGCCAAAUGACGCCAUCAGGACAGCACGUAUUAAAGCAUUUACAGGAACAUUAGACGAGCUGGAGCAAUCUGUUGGGAUCUUUGGACAGAAGUUAUUUGAUGAAAUGGGAACUAAAACAGUUGAUCUGGAGAGGAGGCUAAGUUUGUCAUAGAGGUCUGUGCUCAUGGAAACGGCAGGAUACCCAAAGCUGAGUGGGCUCCAUGCAAUCUCUCGAUACUUAGAAAAUAUGCAGGGAGUACAAAAGUUGAGUAUCAAGAGACUGAGCGGGAUGAAAUUAUUACUGGUGACGAGGAAGAAGAGUUUAUGGAUGAGGACGAUGACGAGGAAGAGGAUGAGAUCGAUGACGAGGACGAGGAUGAUGACUACCUGAUGUAGCUGCAUCGCACUGAGCAUGCAUGUGCCAUAUCAGACUCCCAUAUUCUAGUGUGACAGGUCCUGUCAUUAAUCUGAAUCAAAUUAACAAUAGUAACUAACCUGCAUCAUGAACUUCGGCUGAACCAGACGAACGAUGUACCCAAUGAACUUGUAUCAUAUGGGCUAUCAGAUAUUGAGCAAUCAGCACAACUUGUGACAUAUGUACGUACUAAUAUGGCAUACACGAUGGU